rnacentral:rRNA from 1 species
GAUGAACGCUGGCGGCGUGCUUAACACAUGCAAGUCGAGGGGCAGCAGGGAUUUAGCUUGCUAAAUUCGCUGGCGACCGGCGCACGGGUGCGUAACGCGUAUCCAACUUUCCCGUUACUCUCGGAUAGCCUUCCGAAAGGGAGAUUAAUACGAGAUGGUGUUUUAAUUCCGCAUGUUAUUAAAACUAAAGAUUUAUCGGUAACGGAUAGGGAUGCGUGACAUUAGAUAGUAGGCGGGGUAACGGCCCACCUAGUCUACGAUGUCUAGGGGUUCUGAGAGGAAGGUCCCCCACACUGGAACUGAGACACGGUCCAGACUCCUACGGGAGGCAGCAGUGAGGAAUAUUGGUCAAUGGUCGGAAGACUGAACCAGCCAAGUAGCGUGAAGGAUGAAGGUUCUAUGGAUUGUAAACUUCUUUUAUACGGGAAUAAAACCUCCCACGUGUGGGAGCUUGUAUGUACCGUAUGAAUAAGCAUCGGCUAACUCCGUG